GGGGAUUUAGCUCAGUGGUAGAGCACUUGCCUAGUAAGCGCAAGGCCCUGGGUUCGGUCCCCAGCUCCA
rfam:Rattus norvegicus chromosome 1, whole genome shotgun sequence.